UCUCUCAUGAUUUUCAAUGACCCAGUUCCAAUCUCUAGCCGUAUUCUUCUCUAUAAACAUAGUUGUCGUAGUUUUCAAUGACCCACUUCCAAUCUCUAGCCGUAUUCUGCUAAAGAAGUUUAUGUCUAUGAUGGCCUAUAUAGAUCUUGAAAAACCUAGUGCUAAUUAAGGAGGAGAAGAAACCGUCCUAGAAUGCAUGAUCCAGAUGCUGAGGUGAUUGCUUUGUUACCUGAAAUUCGGGUAGAAGCUCAGAAUUAUGUUUGUAGUGUGUGUAAUAAAGAUUACAAACGGAUACAAAAUCUGAACUUUCACAUGCGAACACAUAACUUUCCGUUGCCGGAGCUCUAGGAGACGUUGAACAGGGGGAGAGGACGUGAGGGAAAAGUGUUCAUUUGUCCUGAGCGCAGUUGCAAACAUCACGACCCGAAACAAGCUUUGGGCGAUAUCACAGCAAUAAAGAAACACUACGCCA